UGUUCCGCUUCGAGUACUGACUGACUGC
rnacentral:sRNA from 1 species